rnacentral:lncRNA from 1 species
UUUAUAUAAGGUAUAUUGGUGGUGCUUAAUUUUAUAAUUUGGUUCAUUAGAUUAUCAAGAUGGGAUUGUGGCUGAGGUGGAAGAGAAAAGAACAUCACCAAUAGAUGAAUACUGAGAGUGAUGGGGCUUUAGGUGUAAGCCCUUUUUUUGGAUAGAGAGAACAUUUCAAAUCCAAGGGCCCUAUGAACCUGGUGGUUCUGCCCUGAUCUGUCCUGCUUCCUUUUUUCCACUCAAAGCACUACCAACAUGCAGUUCUUGGCCUAGAUCCUCACUUUCAUGUGGAGGUCACUAAGUCCAGAGAAAUCCAAUUAGAGUGCAAGUCAGAAGUCUCGUUCCUUCAGCCAAAGGUCCUGUGGAUAGACUUGCAGGGAGGGAAAAUUCCAGCUGUGUCCAAGUCUCAUCCAGAACAAAAGUGCUUUGUUCCACGUAACAAUAUCACUGCUUCUUCAGGGAACCUUCUCAGAAGAAUCUAAUACUUUCUAUCUGGAACCCAGUACUGAAAACAAUUGUCCAUAACAGGUCAGUUUUCUCUUUCCCCUCACUGUGCCCUCCAAAAUGGGCUUUUAUGGUCAUACUCCUUGGCAGUGGCACCUCUAACCUGGGUUUGACUGAUAUUUUCUCAUGUUAGAUUUAGAUUAUGUAUUUUAAGCAGGAGUGUCUCAGAAAUAAUUCUGUAUUCUUGAUGUAUUCUAUCUCAGUGGAGUGUGAUUUCCAUUUGUACCAUUACUGAUAAUGUUUAUUUUGAUAAUUUGGCUAAUAUGGUAACUUCCAGGUUUUUUU